rnacentral:rRNA from 1 species
AGCGAACGUUUGCGGCGGGCCUAACACAUGCAAGUCGAACGCACUAGCAAUAGUGAGUGGCGCACGGGUGCGUAACACGUGGGUAAUCAACCCUUCAGCUUGGGAUAACGACUUGAAAGGGUCGCUAAUACCGGAUACGGCGCGGGAGGCUUCGGCUUCUCACGAGAAAGCCUCGCAAGGGGCACUGAAGGACGAGCCUGCGGCCCAUCAGCUAGUUGGUGAGGUAAGAGCUCACCAAGGCGAAGACGGGUAGCUGGUCUGAGAGGAUGAUCAGCCACACUGGAACUGAGACACGGUCCAGACUCCUACGGGAGGCAGCAGUGGGGAAUAUUGCGCAAUGGGCGAAAGCCUGACGCAGCCACGCCGCGUGAGCGAUGAAGGCCUUCGGGUC